rnacentral:rRNA from 1 species
UCGGCAAUGGACGAAAGUCUGACCGAGCAACGCCGCGUGUGCGAUGAAGGCCUUCGGGUUGUAAAGCACUGUCGAGGGGAAACAAGCCGUAAGGUUGAGUGACCCCUGGAGGAAGCACGGGCUAAGUUCGUGCCAGCAGCCGCGGUAAGACGAACCGUGCAAACGUUAUUCGGAAUCACUGGGCUUAAAGGGCGCGUAGGCGGGUGAUCAAGUCAAUGGUGAAAUCCUCCAGCUUAACUGGAGAAGUGCCUUUGAUACUGAUUGUCUAGAGGGAGGUAGGGGCAUGUGGAACUUCAGGUGGAGCGGUGAAAUGCGUAGAUAUCUGAAGGAACGCCAGUGGCGAAAGCGAUGUGCUGGACCUCUUCUGACGCUGAGGCGCGAAAGCUAGGGGAUCAAACGGGAUU